rnacentral:rRNA from 1 species
CCUACGGGAGGCAGCAGUGGGGAAUUUUGGACAAUGGACGCAAGUCUGAUCCAGCCAUGCCGCGUGCGGGAAGAAGGCCUUCGGGUUGUAAACCGCUUUUGUCAGGGAAGAAACGGGUUUCUCUAAUACAGAGACCUAAUGACGGUACCUGAAGAAUAAGCACCGGCUAACUACGUGCCAGCAGCCGCGGUAAUACGUAGGGUGCAAGCGUUAAUCGGAAUUACUGGGCGUAAAGCGUGCGCAGGCGGUUAUGCAAGACAGAGGUGAAAUCCCCGGGCUCAACCUGGGAACUGCCUUUGUGACUGCAUAGCUAGAGUACGGUAGAGGGGGAUGGAAUUCCGCGUGUAGCAGUGAAAUGCGUAGAUAUGCGGAGGAACACCGAUGGCGAAGGCAAUCCCCUGGACCUGUACUGACGCUCAUGCACGAAAGCGUGGGGAGCAAACAGGAUUAGAUACCCUGGUAGUCCACGCCCUAAACGAUGUCAACUGGUUGUUGGGAGGGUUUCUUCUCAGUAACGAAGCUAACGCGUGAAGUUGACCGCCUGGGGAGUACGGCCGCAGGUUGAACGUUAAGGAAUUGACGG